rnacentral:rRNA from 1 species
GACGAACGCUGGCGGCGUGCUUAACACAUGCAAGUCGAACGCUGAUCCGCUUUCGGGUGGUGAUGAGUGGCGAACGGGUGAGUAACACGUGGGUAAUCUGCCCUGCACUCUGGGAUAAGCCUUGGAAACGAGGUCUAAUACCGGAUAUCACAUUUCCUCGCAUGGGGGGAUGUUGAAAGUUCUGGCGGUGCAGGAUGAACCCGCGGCCUAUCAGCUUGUUGGGGGGUAGUGGCCUACCAAGGCGACGACGGGUAGCCGGCCUGAGAGGGUGACCGGCCACACUGGGACUGAGACACGGCCCAGACUCCUACGGGAGGCAGCAGUGGGGAAUAUUGCACAAUGGGCGAAAGCCUGAUGCAGCGACGCCGCGUGAGGGAUGACGGCCU